CUGGGGCCCCUCUGAAGAUGAUACAUUUCACCAUGUUAUUUAAGCCUUAAUUGUAGUCAUGACAAUCUAAACAAUUUAAGGAUAAAUAUCAUAGUAAUUUGCAAAUCACAUCAGAAAACGUAUAAAUAAUUUUGAUUUACGCGCGUAUAUACAUAUUCGAAAUGAAAUUUAUUGAAAUAAUAAUAUAUUAAAAUGAGAUGAUAAUGGGGAAAUAUUAUAAAUAUAUCGCCGGUAGGCGAGGGACAGCGAGCCUAAGGCACAUAAAUAUUUAAGUAGAAGCUAAAAAGAAAACAUAUUAUUAAAAAUAAUGUAAAACAAAGGGUCUAAUUAAUAAUCUAUAAAAGUUAAAAAGACAUACAUAAAUAAAAGUUAUUUAGAAGAGAGGGGAUAAACAAUUAAUGAAUAAAAAAUAUAUUUUUUUUGGGUUUUCUAUAAAUAAAACACUUUGUUAUCUAAACUCGAAAUACAAGAAACUUCAAAAGAUCUGAGACAAAGGAAAAUUAAUAAAAUUUGAUUAUGAGUCAAAUUAUCCUAAAAUAUAUAAUACAAAAACUGCGAGGAAGUCAACAAUUUCUCAAGAUAUGAUAUAAAGAUUUAACAUGAAAUCAAAAUGAUUAAAUAUAAAACCAUUAAGCACCAUAUAAUAGCACAUACUUACACUUUGUUCUUUCUUUACAUAUAAACAUACCAUGAGAUGCCACACGUACAAAUUCGACCUGAACAGAAAAUAAGGGUACGCUCCUACCAGAACCACAGAAAGUAGCCGAUGGAACCAGAACCAGAGCCAAACAGGAACACCCCACAUCCGCGCACUGCCUUGUUGUCAGUCCUGACCAUCCCAAUCGCAGACAGGGUGAUGCCAGAGCCAUGGCCAUCCCAGGACAAGCAAAGUUACCACUGCGCCAAUGGUCAAAGUCCAAACUUGCCCGAACUCACGACGCUACCAGCAGCGGGUUGAAGUGUUCAACCUAUGAUCUCCAGUAGGGGAUGCCAACAUUACGAAUCAUGGAUUCAGCUGAAGAUACGGCAGGGGCCAUCCAUAAAACACAGUUCCAGGAAACCGACGGCGUUGAAGGACUGGUACAAAACAAGGGAGAAGUCAGGCAUACAAGGGGGUGUCAUGUGAUGUCGCAAGGGUUGCCAACGGACGAAUGGAGGCGUCAAACCCGUAGGCGUUCCAGAAGAGGAGUCAGACAUACAUGGGUGAAGGUGUCCUAGGACGACACAUGGAGGCGUCAAACCUGUAGGCGUCCCAGACGAGGGGCAGGCGACAACGCUAUGAACGUCGCCACCUUACCCGGCGACCGGACCCGGAUGCUGAAGACAUUUUGUGUUCAGAGACUACGUAGUAUUAAAAAAUGUGGACAUCAAAAGCGAUAGUUACAUUAAUUGUAGUUAAAAUUUAAUGAAUAAUAAGGGUUCAGCUCUAAUUAAUUAUACGUUAUUUAGGUACAUCGUUGUUCUGAUCUUACUAAUUGUAAAUUUUUUUUUCUUCUGGGUCUUCUUCGAUCAUGAUUUCGAUUGUUAACAAUAAAGCUGGAGGCCAGCUUUUCUAUGCCCGGGGGAUAUGUCAAACGAAGAUAAUUCAUUAAAAAACAUUUUAAAUUUUAUUUUAUUAAUAUAAAAAUCACUUAAAAAUAUUCGUUCGGUAUACCAGGUCAUUUACCCACAAAUUGUGUAAGUAACAAUUUCCUGAUUGCAUGAUGAAAUAACCAAGUCAUUUCCAUCGUAAAAAGAUUGCAAAAGUACUUUGUCGACAGAACGAUGGUUUGGAAAAAACCGGAAAUUCUGCUGACAAAGAAAAUUAACACCAGGGUACGACGAACGAAAUUUGGCAGAGUUACGACCGGGUCUCGGGCAAGAAGAGGUAACCGAAAGCAGUGCGGAAAAGCUUUGUGAAAUGUUUGCUCCAAGAAUAAUAAUAAUGUAAGUACAACAUUUUAUCAUAUCGAAGAAGAUCACAAUUAUUGUCACUUUAUUAAGUUACGUAACAUUACUUUCACUUUAAUUAUAGAAUUCGCUACAUAUUCCCAUGUACUUAAAUUAUUAAUCCUGUUAUGUCGAUCUUAGUUUAUCUCUUGUCAAAUUAGCUCUUUUAUUUGGGUAACUCUACUUAAAUCGUUAUAAUUAUAUUUUGCUGUCAAUACAAGGUAUUUAGUAAACUA
rnacentral:lncRNA from 1 species